AUUGAACGCUGGCGGCAGGCCUAACACAUGCAAGUCGAGCGAGCGGCGGACGGGUGAGUAAUGUCUGGGAACCUGCCAGAUGGAGGGGGAUAACUACUGGAAACGGUAGCUAAUAAUGCAUACAAUUAGAUGUACGCCGAUGGGAUUAGCUAGUAGGUGGGGUACAGGCUCACCUAGGCGCCGAUCCCUAGCUGGUCUGAGGGGAUGACCAGCCACACUGGAACUGAGACACGGCCCAGACUCCUACGGGAGGCAGCAGUGGGGAAUAUUGCACAAUGGGCGCAAGCCUGAUGCAGCCAUGCCGCGUGUAUGAAGAAGGCCUUCGGGUUGUAAAGUACUUUCAGCGGGGAGGCGUUACCCGCAGAAGAAGCACCGGCUAACUCCGUGCCAGCAGCCGCGGUAAUAC
rnacentral:rRNA from 1 species